GGAGAGGUCGCAUAGUGGUUUAGUGCACCGGUCUUGAAAACCGGAGUCCCGUUAAAAGGACCGAGGGUUCGAAUCCCUCCCUCUCCGCCA
rnacentral:tRNA from 1 species